GGACUACUGGGGUAUCUAAUCCCGUUUGCUCCCCUAGCUUUCGCGCCUCAGCGUCAGAAAAGGUCCAGUCGUUCGCUUUCGCCACCGGCGUUCCUUCCAAUAUCAACGCAUUUCACCGCUCCACUGGAAGUUCCAACGACCCCUACCUCCCUCCAGCCGAUCCGUAUCCAAGGCCCUUUUCCGGUUAAGCCGAAAGAUUUCACCCCGGACGUGAUCGACCGCCUACGCGCCCUUUAAGCCCAGUGAUUCCGAACAACGUUUGCACGGUUCGUCUUACCGCGGCGGCUGGCAC
rnacentral:rRNA from 3 species